rnacentral:lncRNA from 1 species
UUGGUUGUUCAAAAGACUUUCUCUUUCCCCUUUGCAUCUUCAUCUUUUCAAAAGCCCAUACCCAAUCUUCUGGAUCUGUAUUAGUCUUAUUUCAGGUGCAAAGCCUCUUCACAUCUCAGAUGCCCACAAUGCCAAUGGUGAAGGAGCUUUCUCUCUUUCUUUUCUUUCUCCCCCAUUUCUCAUUUUGUUGAUUGAAAGAGAAUAAGCGCUAUCCAUUGAGUAAAGGGGGGUUUGCUACAGUGAUUCGGGCGGUUGGUGGCCCCUUCGAGAGUUGCGGGUCCUUGCCGCUGCAUGAGUGGUAGCUCACGCUCAAAACUCCUCCAACACGAG